rnacentral:lncRNA from 1 species
CAAAUCCGAAAAUGUUUCCAGUAACAUCUUUUUAUGCACUGGCUGCUGAAGAUUAACUAAAAGUUCUUGGCUGAGAUCUUGCUUCCUACCUAAAUGUUUCAGUUUCAUUGAAAUAGAAUUUAACUUUUCAAAUGUUCUAAUUGGAAACAGAAAAUGAAUCCCCAUUUCCCAAGGGGAGAAGCCAUGGUUUCCUUAAAAUGUUCCUAAAUUAUCCAACAUAGUGCUAGACACACAGUAUACAUUUAGCACUCUCUAAAUCCAACCAUGUAAGGUAGAAUUCCUACUUAUGGAAAGUCAUGUAAGCUACAUGACCUAAUAAGAUCUGGGUUCUCUUUCCUUUACUUUCACUCAUUUUCUGAUAAAUUCCAGGAAAACUUCCCAAAUGAGCACAAGUAUUAUCAACCCUCAUCAUUGGAAAUCCACUAUUUUUCAGCAGUUGUAUUUUUGAUAUGAUUUUAAAAUUUAGAUGGACUUUUACUACAUGAACUUACACAUUUAAGACUUUUAGGUGGGAGGUUUUGGCAACUAGGCAAGCACUUCUGUAAGCUAUUGACUGCUAUCAUAAUGUUGGGUGUAUAAAAGGAAGGGAUGACAGGACUAUAAAGCUUGAAAUAGAAACUGAUAAGUGAAGAAGUAAGCUACAGAAUAUUUGAUCAGUAAAUAAUAACUGUAUCUGAAGGUACUGAGUGUUCACUUUUGCAUGUGUUGGAUUCUUGGUGAGGUGGUUUAUAUUCACUAAUUUUUAUAGCAACCCUAUAUAUAAGCAUUAUCAUCUCCAUUUCACAAAUAAAUAAACUGAGGUUCAGAAAAGUGAAAGGUUUUAUAACUGUUGGCAGAGCUGAUAUUUAUGGUUUGUUCCAUAGUAAAACUUUCUUCCUGCUACAUCAUAUUGUCUCAGAAGUGGCAUAAAAAUAACCAGGAAAAGACAAAGAGAGGUGAAAUACAUUAAAUGUAAGUAAAAUAUAUUCCUUUUUUAUUUGAAUGGAUUUAUUUGAACUUACAUAUGAAAUUCAUGACAGCAAAAAAGGAAUUGAGUUGAAUAGGUGAUAUGGAGCUCAGCUAGGACUGAAAAAGCACUUCCUGCCUUGGUGAAUAACAAAGUGCUUGGGCUGAACAUGGUAGUGUCCUGUCUGAUUCUCUCUCUCUAAUUCCCAUAGCUGGCCAGCUGUUUUCCUCCAUAAAAAUCUCUAGAAUAUGCUUGACUAUGCUUUGAUAGGGUCUUCAACAUUGCACGCAGAUAUGGUGACAUCGUGAGAAUAACAAAAUGGUACCUUUGUUAGCAAGAUGUCUGGCUGAUAAAUAAGAAAGGGCUCCCUUCCCACACACUGGGUAACCCACCAUACUUGGCCAGCAGACCACAGUCUGAUUUUCUGCAACCCCUUGACUCUUGGAAAAAUGUUUCAUGCAGGGAAUAGCUGCAUGACCCUAUCUGCAUGGCCAUAUGUUGUGGCCUUAGCCUUGUUCUUCUCCACCUCCAUUAUCUUCCUCAUGGCUUAAGUCACCACCAUUUCUUCCUGGCAGUGUUCUCUUAAAUUCUUCUCUUUACCUCCAGUCUUCCUCUCCUCCAGUGCUUUCUUCACACAACAAUUAAUUUGCUUUUGGAAAUACAACUAUGAUCACAACACCCCACCAACAACACACUGUUCUUUACCUGACUCUGUGGGCUUUCUCCUUUCUUUUCUUACUGUUGAGACGUGGUUCAGAUCAUCAGUGUCAAAAAAUGAGACACAUGAACAUGGGAAGAUCUCGACAAGGCUCUUUACUUCUGCAGAAGGGCAUGGGUGCUCAAAAAGCACAUGCAAAGAAGAAAAGACCCUCCCUGUUUAUCCCUAAUGCAGGUAAUGUACCUGUCCCUUUCCCAUUGGUCAGAUCAGGGUGUACAUUCCUCUAGGUUGGCUAAUUUGAAACAAAUUGUUACUGGGGGAAGAGGGAAAGAGGAGGGAGAGUCGCAGGAAGGCGUUUCAGCUGAAACCAGAGCAAAAUGGAGUAACCAAGAUUUCCUUUGAUAGAAAAGAUAUUACAUUACUUACCACAAUUCCCUCCUUUCAUUUUUUAUCAAAUAUUCUUUUCUUCAAACUCUUUGAGCAUGGUUUGUCUCUCAUGCUCUAUUGUGUCCAUCAGGAGAAUAUUGGCUUGGUGGGGAGGGGGGCCCAGUUGCUUUGUUAGGGCAGUUUCUGUUAAUUUUUGAAUAAGUCUCCUGGCACAAGGAAUUACACAACAUGCAACUAAGACAUGGAUACUAUCUACAGCAAUUUGAGGGAUACAGAUUGAAGCUAUUAGUCCCUUUCAUUUUUUUAAUUUUAAAACCAAUUUUCUAAAAGGUCUGUGAAGGGGUCAUUGAUACCAGAAUUCUCUGAAAGAUCAUCUGCUAAGGCCGUUAAUCUGUGUAGGGCCUUGGUGAUGGUUCUGUCUGGGGUGGUGUUGUUGGGAAUGAAUGUACAGCACUGGCUAUCAAUCAUUACACAGACUCCACCCUUUUCUGCCAGCGUCAUGUCUAAAGCAAGUCUGUUUUCUCAUGCCAUAUGACUAGUUGGCCCUAGCUGUUCAGCUAUUUCUUUAAUGGCAUCUCUGGUGUAAUUAAUGAAUCUUUGUUGAUUGUAAAAAAUGUAGUUUAUCCAAUCAACAUUUUUGUUUAUGGUUGAUCACAAAAAGAGAGCAGGUUCAAACCCAGCAGCUACCUGAUUUCUUGUCUUAAAUUUGUUUGGAGAGUUCCCGUUGUGGAGCAGUGGUUAAUGAAUCCGACUAGGAACCAUGAGGUUGUGGGUUCGAUCCCUGGCCUUGCUCAGCAGGUUAACUAUCCUGCAUUGCCAUGAGCUGUGGUGUAGGUUGCAGAUGUGGCUUAGAUCCUGCGUUGCUGUGGCUCUGGCGUAGGCUGGCAGCUACAGCUCUUAUUAGACCCCUAGCCUGGGAAACUCCAUAUGCCACGGGAGCGGCCCAAGAAAUGGCAAAAAGACAAAAAAAAAAAAAUUUGUUUGGAACACCUGUUGAGUCAAUACAGACCUGGGGGUCAAAGUGCCACCAUCCCUGGUAAUGUCUUAUUUUCUCAGGAUUGGCUGUGUUUGAUAUUGGGGCCUAAAUGCCAGGGUGAAAUGAAUGGCCAAUUGCAACAAAGUAUAGGUGUCACUUUGAUUUUCUGGAGGGAUGCCCAUUAGUGGACUCCCACAAUACCACCAGACAUCUCGGGGCACUUGGAACAGGGAUUUAUUGUGGGGGUGAUGUAGGACCGGCUUUGGCUGCACCUGGUCAAGUUGCCUAAGAAAGUUGCCUUUGCUUCUUGUCAUUUUAGACUUGAGGAGAAGUUGACAUUUUCAUUUGGCUGCUGAACAGUUUUUGGGGGCUGACCCACAGAACUUUUGACCUCAGGGAAUAGUAGUGACAGAGUCUAACUGGACUCAUUAUUUCAAGCCAUUUUGUCGUGGAAGAGGGCCAUCACACAGUCGAGACCCUAUGGGUCUGACAACCAUCCCAGAGGAAAGGAACCACUUGGGCCUCUGGUCUCCCUGUGGCACAAGCAUAAUAGCUGCCUUUGUGUAGUGUGUCCACAGAAUAUUUUAUCCAUUUCAAACAGGCAUUUGUGUCCUCAUAUCCUGUUUUUAUACUUGCAGUCAGCCUUCCUCCAAAGGUGAGUUUUCUGUUUCCUUAAGUUAAUAGGGCAGUGGCAGCUACCAACUGUAUGUACUCAGCCAUCCUCUGGUGACAGAGUUCAGGAGGCAGAAAAGGAAGGCCACCAGCUGGUGGCUUUCUCCAUGUUUCUAUGUGAGGACCCCCUAGAGCGAUCCCAGGGCCCAUGCUUACAAAUAAAUGAAAAGGUUUUUCAAAAGGAUGGUAGAGCCAGAAGAGGGGCACCUGUCAGUGCCUCUCUUAAAUCCCUAAAUUGUUGUACCUCCUCCUGGCUCCAUAGUUAGGUAUCAGGGUCUUCCUCUAGAAGCUUGGAAAUAGUCCUUUUAUAUUAUGUCCUUUUUAGUACACAUGGUCCCCUUGUUGCAGGUUUUGGGGCAUCUGAUUUUUAUCCAAAAAUAGAUUGCUGAGAUAAACUUUAGAAAUAAGCUUAGAAUGUUCUUUUAGAAGCUCAGUUAAACUUUGCAUCAAUAUAACAUAAUAGCAAAGAACUACUAGGGAGUAAGUCUUAGUGAUACUGACCAUAAGUAAAAGAACGAGAUUAACAGAUUUAGCAAGUUUUCAUUGAAACAUCUCUUUCUCUCUAAAAUUACUUUCAUUUUUAUCAAAUAUUAGUCAAACCAAGACUAAUUUAUUUGCCAAUUAAGUCUGGUGUCAGCAACCUUGGCCUGAUGACUUACAUGAAUAAAAUUGAUCAUAUAGAUUUAUUUUUUAAUUGGCUUUGUUGGAACUUUAUGAGGAAUCUUAGACUAAGCUUUUAAAAGGCACCUCAGGGCUAGGAAAGUCAUGUGAAUGGUUUGUCUUAAAGAUUUUUAUCUUAAAAAUCUUGGUGAAUUCCUUCCCUUUUAAAAACCCAGAUCCUUGAGUUUUUUACAGGCUACAUACAAGGUGGCCUUCCUAAUUAUCUGAUAAAGUUUCUGAAAACCUGAGUUUCCAUUCUCUGAAGAAUCAGGGAGAGAAGAGAGAAAUGUUUCAGUUCUGCUUACAAAGGUAUAAUUUACCAAAUUGCUUGUUGGGAAGAUUUUCUUUAUACCUGGAAAACGCAGAUGAAAAGUCAGUAUUAUUUUAAAUAGAGACCAUAAAAUUAUAACCAUAUCCACCAGUUCACACAGUCCAAUGUAACCAAUCCCUUUUGUUCAACUGUUUAUGAAAUCAUCAAUUUCCCUUUUAGAAUUUUUUUUUUUUUUAAUUUCUUACUCAGCUCAUCAUUAAGGUCUGGAAGUCAGAAACUUUUAUUUAAAAAAAAAGUUCUUUCUGGAGUUCCCGUCGUGGCGUAGUGGUUAACGAAUCCGACUAGGAACCAUGAGGUUGCGGGUUCGGUCCCUGCCCUUGCUCAGUGGGUUAAGGAUCUGGCGUUAUCGUGAGCUGUGGUGUAGGUUGCAGACGCGGCUCGGAUCCCGUGUUGCUGUGGCUCUGGCGUAGGCCGGCAGCUACAGCUCCAAUUCGACCCCUAGCCUGGGAACCUCCAUAUGCCGCAGGAGUGGCCCAAGAAAUG